rnacentral:rRNA from 1 species
GCAAGUCGAGCGGACCGACGGGAGCUUGCUCCCUUAGGUCAGCGGCGGACGGGUGAGUAACACGUGGGUAACCUGCCUGUAAGACUGGGAUAACUCCGGGAAACCGGGGCUAAUACCGGAUGCUUGAUUGAACCGCAUGGUUCAAUCAUAAAAGGUGGCUUUUAGCUACCACUUACAGAUGGACCCGCGGCGCAUUAGCUAGUUGGUGAGGUAACGGCUCACCAAGGCGACGAUGCGUAGCCGACCUGAGAGGGUGAUCGGCCACACUGGGACUGAGACACGGCCCAGACUCCUACGGGAGGCAGCAGUAGGGAAUCUUCCGCAAUGGACGAAAGUCUGACGGAGCAACGCCGCGUGAGUGAUGAAGGUUUUCGGAUCGUAAAACUCUGUUGUUAGGGAAGAACAAGUACCGUUCGAAUAGGGCGGUACCUUGACGGUACCUAACCAGAAAGCCACGGCUAACUACGUGCCAGCAGCCGCGGUAAUACGUAGGUGGCAAGCGUUGUCCGGAAUUAUUGGGCGUAAAGCGCGCGCAGGCGGUUUCUUAAGUCUGAUGUGAAAGCCCCCGGCUCAACCGGGGAGGGUCAUUGGAAACUGGGGAACUUGAGUGCAGAAGAGGAGAGUGGAAUUCCACGUGUAGCGGUGAAAUGCGUAGAGAUGUGGAGGAACACCAGUGGCGAAGGCGACUCUCUGGUCUGUAACUGACGCUGAGGCGCGAAAGCGUGGGGAGCGAACAGGAUUAGAUACCCUGGUAGUCCACGCCGUAAACGAUGAGUGCUAAGUGUUAGAGGGUUUCCGCCCUUUAGUGCUGCAGCAAACGCAUUAAGCACUCCGCCUGGGGAGUACGGUCGCAAGACUGAAACUCAAAGGAAUUGAC